AGUUCCAGGAGGAGGGCGCAUGGGGUGAGCUCAGGGCAGAAGGCUUUUGUUCCAAAGCCCCUCUGACCUGAACGCACACACUCACAGCGUGCCCUGUAUCUGGCUCAGAAGCCGUCGCUCCGAAGAAGAUGACUGUCCCCUGUGAGGAACUGUCGUGGGAAUGAGGCGAUAGGACUGGUUGAAGGAAAUGCUAAGAAGCUCUCUCCUUUGUGGACUGAGGGACCAGCUUCAACACCAGAGGGGUGCAAUCCCAGCAGAAAAGGAACACUGUCUCUAAUGUUGCAACAAAGUAACCAGCAUGAAGUUAGCAAGAAGAAAUCACGGUUGCAGCUGCUGAACACUGAUCCCUACCUGCUUUAAACUUAGAUCCAGAACGGAGCCGGCACAGUGACUUACGUCACUCCCACUGGCUUAAGAGAACAGAGAAUGACAUAUAGACAAGAUGCUACCUCCCAUGGAAAGGCCCCUAUACAUAAAGUCACUUUAUUUCUCUGUCACUUCCCUGAAAAUAAUUUAUGUAAUUAUGCUGUUAAUGAAGUCUAACAACUCAAGGUUUGUUUAUUGACUAUUACUUAAUGCUACCAAAGCAUGUGUGAAUACCCUCCCACAAGAUGGCACCUGUUGAUUCUCCUUCAUAGUAAAGAUAAGAGAUUCCAACCACUCCCUCUCCUAUGCCCACUCCCAGAUAUGUGUAAUUUCUUCCCACUCCUUCCAGUCUCAGAAGGGGUAAGAUGAACUGAGAAGGGACCCUAUUUGUACAAAUAGGUUUCAGGAUGUUGUCAUAUGUGCUUCCUGGGACUCUGUGGUAAUAAGAGCUGUUUUAAGGUCACUCAUGCAUAAACCCCCAUCCACGAUUUGAUAAAUAAACCCACCGUCCAACCAAUCAAAAAUGCUAAAGUAGGGAGAAAUUGUUCUUCCUUUUUGUUGAUGCCAGUGCCCUAGCCAAGGUGAAUAGACGUUUGUUCAAGCUGUUGCUGUAAAAGAUACUGUGAUGUUCAUUUGUAAAUAUCAUCAGAGUUACUCCUACAGGUCGACUCUCUGUGUAAGACACUAAAAAUGGAUAAUACUCAUCAAGUUUCUCAUGUGUCCAUUAA
rnacentral:lncRNA from 1 species